CAUUGCAGUCGAGCGGGGGAAGGUAGCUUGCUACUGGACCUAGCGGCGGACGGGUGAGUAAUGCUUAGGAAUCUGCCUAUUAGUGGGGGACAACAUCUCGAAAGGGAUGCUAAUACCGCAUACGUCCUACGGGAGAAAGCAGGGGAUCUUCGGACCUUGCGCUAAUAGAUGAGCCUAAGUCGGAUUAGCUAGUUGGUGGGGUAAAGGCCUACCAAGGCGACGAUCUGUAGCGGGUCUGAGAGGAUGAUCCGCCACACUGGGACUGAGACACGGCCCAGACUCCUACGGGAGGCAGCAGUGGGGAAUAUUGGACAAUGGGGGGAACCCUGAUCCAGCCAUGCCGCGUGUGUGAAGAAGGCCUUAUGGUUGUAAAGCACUUUAAGCGAGGAGGAGGCUACUCUAGUUAAUACCUAGGGAUAGUGGACGUUACUCGCAGAAUAAGCACCGGCUAACUCUGUGCCAGCAGCCGCGGUAAUACAGAGGGUGCGAGCGUUAAUCGGAUUUACUGGGCGUAAAGCGUGCGUAGGCGGCUUAUUAAGUCGGAUGUGAAAUCCCCGAGCUUAACUUGGGAAUUGCAUUCGAUACUGGUGAGCUAGAGUAUGGGAGAGGAUGGUAGAAUUCCAGGUGUAGCGGUGAAAUGCGUAGAGAUCUGGAGGAAUACCGAUGGCGAAGGCAGCCAUCUGGCCUAAUACUGACGCUGAGGUACGAAAGCAUGGGGAGCAAACAGGAUUAGAUACCCUGGUAGUCCAUGCCGUAAACGAUGUCUACUAGCCGUUGGGGCCUUUGAGGCUUUAGUGGCGCAGCUAACGCGAUAAGUAGACCGCCUGGGGAGUACGGUCGCAAGACUAAAACUCAAAUGAAUUGACGGGGGCCCGCACAAGCGGUGGAGCAUGUGGUUUAAUUCGAUGCAACGCGAGACCUUACCUGGCCUUGAC
rnacentral:rRNA from 1 species